UACGUAGGAUGCAAGCGUUGUCCGGAAUUAUUGGGCGUAAAGAGCGCGCAGGCGGUAUGACAAGUCAGAUGUGAAAGAGGCCGGCUUAACCGGCAAGGGUCAUUUGAAACUGUCAGACUAGAGUGCAGCAGAGGAUAGUGGAAUUCCCGGUGUAGUGGUGAAAUGCGUAGAUAUCGGGAGGAACACCAGUGGCGAAGGCGACUAUCUGGGCUGCAACUGACGCUGAGGCGCGAAGGCUAGGGUAGCAAACGG
rnacentral:rRNA from 1 species